GGACCCGCACAAGUAGUGGAGCAUGUGGUUUAAUUCGAAGAUACGCGCAGAACCUUACCAACACUUGACAUGUUCGUCGCGACUUUAAGAGAUUAAAGUUUUCGGUUCGGCCGGACGAAACACAGGUGCUGCAUGGCUGUCGUCAGCUCGUGUCGUGAGAUGUUGGGUUAAGUCCCGCAACGAGCGCAACCCUCACUUUUAGUUGCCAUCAUUAAGUUGGGCACUCUGAAAGAACUGCCAGUGAUAAGCUGGAGGAAGGUGGGGAUGACGUCAAGUCCUCAUGGCCCUUACGUGUUGGGCUACACACGUGCUACAAUGGUAUCUACAACAGGAAGCAAGACUGCGAAGUUAAGCAAAUCCCUCAAAAGCCGUCUCAGUUCGGAUUGUACUCUGCAACUCGAGUGCAUGAAGGUGGAAUCGCUAGUAAUCG
rnacentral:rRNA from 1 species